UGUAUUUGGACCUCAGGGACCCCCAGGUGAACCAGGCUCUAUCGGAGAGCAUGGUGAUCGAGGAGAGUCUGGGGAUGAAGGUUAUAAGGGUAUCGUUGGUGUUGUUGGACCAAGAGGAGCAAUCGGUCAGCAAGGGGCACCAGGCGAGCCAGGUGUGAUGGGUGAACAGGGGCAGAAAGGAGAGCAAGGAUCAAUAG